UACGUAGGGUGCAAGCGUUAAUCGGAAUUACUGGGCGUAAAGCGUGCGCAGGCGGUUAUGCAAGACAGAGGUGAAAUCCCCGGGCUCAACCUGGGGACUGCCUUUGUGACUGCAUAGCUAGAGUACGGUAGAGGGGGGAUGGAAUUCCGCGUGUAGCAGUGAAAUGCGUAGAUAUGCGGAGGAACACCGAUGGCGAAGGCAAUCCCCUGGACCUGUACUGACGCUCAUGCACGAAAAGGCGUGGGGAGCAAACGAGG
rnacentral:rRNA from 1 species